UGGCGUGUGACGGGGAGGGGAGGAGCGGGUUAGGGGGGAAGAAGCAGGGUGCUGUCUGGUUAAAGAAGGGUUUAGCGGUGGCGGUGGCGGUACUACAGCAGUGGCCGUCUAUGGCGCGGCAGUAGGAGGAGGCGCCGGAGCCGGCGAGGCUUAGUCGUAGGUGUCGGCGGCCGCGUCGUCCGACUAUGCUUCCUCGCCGCCUACCUCAGCGAGCCCACCGACUGCCUCAGGUGCCACUACGGGUUCUUCGUGUUCCGGUAGCUCCCGCAGCCGCGCCGUAGGUAUGAGCUGGAGUUCCGGGUCGAGAUGGCGUGAGUCCUCCUUCGGGCGUUAAGGUGGCGGCGACUGCGGCGGAGGUCGCUCAAGGCGGCGCGGUUCUUUGCGAGCCCGGGGCGGCUGGGGGACCCGCGGUUCUUGAGUCCACAUCUGCGAGCACGGGUGUUCCUAUUCGACCUCGACUUUCGACACUUUCUACCAUGACGUACAAUAAGACGGGAUCUUUUCUUCCGACUCGACAUACUCUUUAAUAGGUCCCCACUCGAUGGACUACUUCUUCUGGUCCUCUUUAUAACGCAACUAAAGAAGGUCUUUUCAAAAGUAGUUCAGUCGCACGCGGCCGUCGGUCUCUGACGAUGACGGGGACUCGUACAUCUUGUUCUUUUACUCUCACAGCUAAGAUACGGUUUAGGGUUCGGUUACCCGGAACCUGCUUGACCAUGUUGUCAACUGGUUCUACUCGUGUUUGCGAAACAGUCCAUGACAAAUGAAACCCGUCAACGACGUAACUAGGUGACUUAAAGACACGGUCAGGAACUCUUCAGUUUCAUCUUUAACGAGAUACCGUCUACGUAUUGUUUUAACCUUGACCGUCAAGGUUGUGAACAUUAGUAAACUGUGAACGUAUUUGGUGACUUGUAUUUAGCCCGAGGGUCAACGUCAUAGGUAAUGUACGGAAAAUCACGACCAUUAACACGUACCAGUGAAGAGAAUCGUACGGUACGGGUACAUCGGUAUCUAGUGCACAACGCGGGGUAUUGUUGUCUCAGUACGGGGAUUGUUUCGUGUAACAAUUGAUCAUCAAAGAAAGACACUCAUGUUGGUAAACAUUUAGACAUGUUCGACACAAGUCGACGAAGUACAUACCUGAUUGACAUCUAUAUCAAAUGUUCCAUGGUUUUGACAAAACAUCAUACUCGUAACGUCCAGCACCACAAUCCACCCUGAUGUUUUGAUGUGAGACUUAAGAGCUACAAGAGUACAAGGAAAAAAAAACUUUGCCUCCGUUUUCUAUAGGAAAGAUAGGUUCAUUUAUAAACUUGAUUUACAAAAAUCGUACUUGACGUAAUGAAACCAAAAUAAACAGUAUUUAUAAAGGAGUCAAACGACUAGAUUAAUUUUACACGGAACCAUAUUGAAUGUUCAUCAUCAAAUCAUCUCGUGAGAAUCGACCACUUCGUGAAUAUAUACUGUGUUAUCAGUAUGUUUGAAAGGCACGUGGAAUUUGACAUUGCGAACCCCUUACACCGGAACAUACCUCUCUGUCCCUAUGACUAUGGGGUCCUCUACACGUUCCCAACUCUCAAACUCUGGUAGCACACUUAGGUCGAUUAGCAUCAGCACGCUACUCUCUGUGGAGUAACUACUAUUUGAUCUUUCUAAAAGGUACCAGGUACAACGAGGUCGGAGGUACGUAAGAGAACUCACCCUACUCUCAUAAUGUUACAAGCAUUUAAGUUUAAAUUUUGACUACGAAACACGUCAUAUUUUACACUUCCGCUUCCUAAGUCAGGAACGAUCGUAGGGUUCAAUAGUAUACAGUACAAAGGAAACCGGAUUCCUUAGGGAAUCAUGCAACCUUUUUAACAACUCCCGAAAAAAGACCGUUCCGUUCUCGUGUCAGUUCCCUCCGGUUACGGAGCAACGGACCGUAAAACAGUGAGAGGGUUCUAGACGUCCGCCAAACCCGUAGUCCCUGGAAGAACGAGUAUUGGUUCGAAACGAGUGGUUCAAACGUCGAUCUCAAAACGUCUGGAGCCUUUAGGGGACGAAAGUUACCAAACGGGUCGUCAUGACGUUCGAGAAAUAGGGAGAGUUUCCGAGUUUUGGCACUGUGCCGAUAUACCUUUUUGAAGUUUGGAAAAUAAGGAUGUCACAACCGUAGAAGGUUCACAAGUUGCCCAGGACCGUUCGAAUAGAGGAAGACCGUACUAGAGACCAACAGUCGCCCCACUGAUGCCAAGAACAACGGGCGGGAGAAGAGCAUACGAUUUCUACCGCGAACGUGCCACCGGAGAGUCGAGACGUUGUUGUGGACCACGUAAGUUGACGUGGGGUUGGACAGCCGGUGACGGCGGGUACUUGACGUUUACGACGUGAGAAAAGAUGGGGUCGGAGGAUGUCUACGACGUCAAAGGCCGAGUCUGCAGUCUCAAAGACGAUAUGUGGUAUUCGGUGACUGAUGAAGAGUUCAGAUAGUUGAAAGAUGGAAGUCUCCACACCGGACACUCAAGUCGAGGACCUAAACCCUGUUCUAGUAGGGAGACUCCAUAGCGCAGAAAGAGACCGACCGAAAAACCCCAGCUGAGUUGUGUGCUCUAUUGUACUAAGCCUUUGUAACCAGGGAUGAAUGGCUCGUGGUCCUGACACUGUAAACGGGACGGUCGCUCAGACGGUCGGUGUAACAAGACGCGACGAAGGGCCGAAGACAAUAGACCCGGUGCAAGGUAUACUUGCUGGAACGGAGAUCGAGGUGCCUGUAGCAAGUAAAAUACGUGUCUCGAGUCGUUCGAACCUAGUUGAGAUCUCCUCACGUGUAAGAAAAGCGACGCCGCCGUCAAUGAGAGACCGUGCGCUCUUUGCUGUCUUAGAAGUUGUUGUUUUCUACCGGGGGCAGGAUAGAGUCUUCCAUAUACAGUGUUGAGGAAGUCCGAACCGUCGUGGCCCGUUUUAUCGUCCGACUGUUCCUACGAUAAUGCUCUACCUACAUAGAGGACUCGAUUAAAUCGAAACGUCAUGAGAAGAAGAGAGGAGCGAACGGGACAAGAAGAGAGAGAGGUUACCGACGAAUAUCGGUACCGUGAUGCCACGAGUUACAUUCGAAGUACAUUGACUGGGAAACCAGGGUCCGGAACCGGACAAACUUUAUAUAUUCCAUCUUAGAGUAGAUGGAAAGUAAAUUUUUUUUUCCUAUACAUCUAGGGAACUAACAUAUGAUAGUAAUGGUCUACGAUGGUAACUUAAACGUUGGACUUGCUAAAACAGAGGGAGACUCUUAUUAUAAAGAGUCCAGAAACUGAUUGAACGUGGUACCGUACAGACGUCCCUCCAAGUGCUGCUUCAUUCAGUUCGUUCCGUCUUCCGAAGUUGCUACUUUGUGGCCGCUGUUCUCGUCCUCAGCCGAGCAUCUCUCUUUGAGUCCGUUCGAAAGGAGUUCUUCGCGGAACUGUUCAACUACCGACUUUUCGUUCGUAGAAGUCGCUCACUACUGGUUGGUUUAUCGAUUAGCUCUAAAACAUACAGAAUGUGAACACGGGUCCUUCGUCAACAACAUCGAGUACACCAUUACCAAGUACGUUGACUUUUACUCUUUUGAACGGGACGUACACUAGAGAACUAGAUCGCUUUAGUUUAAGUCUUUUAACAGAACCGUACAUGUCAGCCAAGUAGUAGUAUAACAAUAUGUUAAUACGUUGCAUCUACAUUAAACUUAGAAGACUGCUCCGUAAAACUGGGAGUUGACUAAACCCGGAACCCGUCUAAGGA
rnacentral:rRNA from 1 species